rnacentral:rRNA from 1 species
AACGAACGCUGGCGGCAGGCUUAACACAUGCAAGUCGAACGCCCCGCAAGGGGAGUGGCAGACGGGUGAGUAACGCGUGGGAAUCUACCCAGUUCUACGGAAUAACCCAGGGAAACUUGGACUAAUACCGUAUACGACCUACGGGGGAAAGAUUUAUCGGAAUUGGAUGAGACCGCGUUGGAUUAGCUAGUUGGUGGGGUAAUGGCCUACCAAGGCGACGAUGCAUAGCUGGUCUGAGAGGAUGAUCAGCCACACUGGGACUGCGACACGGCCCAGACUCCUACGGGAGGCAGCAGUGGGGAAUAUUGGACAAUGGGCGCAAGCCUGAUCCAGCCAUGCCGCGUGAGUGAUGAAGGCCUUAGGGUUGUAAAGCACUUUCAGUGGGGAAGAUAAUGACGGUACCCACAGAAGAAGCCCCGGCUAACUUCGUGCCAGCCGCCGCCGUAAUAC